UAGCUAGUUGGUGAGGUAAAGGCUUACCAAGGCGACGAUCUGUAGCGGGUCUGAGAGGAUGAUCCGCCACACUGGAACUGAGACACGGUCCAGACUCCUACGGGAGGCAGCAGUGGGGAAUUUUGGACAAUGGGGGCAACCCUGAUCCAGCCAUGCCGCGUGAGUGAAGAAGGCCUUCGGGUUGUAAAGCUCUUUCGGCCGGGAAGAAAUCGCAUGGGCCAAUACCCUGUGUGGAUGACGGUACCGGAAUAAGAAGCACCGGCUAACUACGUGCCAGCAGCCGCGGUAAUACGUAGGGUGCGAGCGUUAAUCGGAAUUACUGGGCGUAAAGCGUGCGCAGGCGGUUUUGUAAGACAGGCGUGAAAUCCCCGGGCUUAACCUGGGAACUGCGUUUGUGACUGCAAGGCUAGAGUACGGCAGAGGGGGGUGGAAUUCCACGUGUAGCAGUGAAAUGCGUAGAGAUGUGGAGGAACACCAAUGGCGAAGGCAGCCCCCUGGGUCGAUACUGACGCUCAUGCACGAAAGCGUGGGUAGCAAACAGGAUUAGAUACCCUGGUAGUCCACGCCCUAAACUAUGUCAACUAGGUGUUGGGUGGGUAAAACCAUUUAGUACCGUAGCUAACGCAUGAAGUUGACCGCCUGGGGAGUACGGCCGCAAGGUUAAAACUCAAAGGAAUUGACGGGGACCCGCACAAGCGGUGGAUGAUGUGGAUUAAUUCGAUGCAACGCGAAAAACCUUACCUACCCUUGACAUGCCAGGAACUUGCCAGAGAUGGCUUGGUGCCCGAAAGGGAGCCUGGACACAGGUGCUGCAUGGCUGUCGUCAGCUCGUGUCGUGAGAUGUUGGGUUAAGUCCCGCAACGAGCGCAACCCUUGUCGUUAAUUGCCAUCAUUUAGUUGGGCACUUUAACGAGACUGCCGGUGACAAACCGGAGGAAGGUGGGGAUGACGUCAAGUCCUCAUGGCCCUUAUGGGUAGGGCUUCACACGUCAUACAAUGGUCGGUACAAAGGGUUGCCAAGCCGCGAGGCGGAGCCAAUCCCAGAAAGCCGAUCGUAGUCCGGAUUGCAGGCUGCAACUCGCCUGCAUGAAGUCGGAAUCGCUAGUAAUCGUGGAUCAGCAUGUCACGGUGAAUACGUUCCCGGGUCUUGUACACACCGCCCGUCACACCAUGGGAGCGGGUUCCGCCAGAAGUAGGUAGCCUAACCGCAAGGGGGGCGCUUACCACGGCGGGGUACGUGACUGGGGUGAAGUCGUAACAAGGUAGCCGUAGGGGAACCUGCGGCUG
rnacentral:rRNA from 1 species